AGCGAACGCUGGCGGCAGGCUUAACACAUGCAAGUCGAACGGGCAUAGCAAUAUGUCAGUGGCAGACGGGUGAGUAACGCGUGGGAACGUACCUUUUGGUUCGGAACGACACAGGGAAACUUGUGCUAAUACCGGAUAAGCCCUUACGGGGAAAGAUUUAUCGCCGAAAGAUCGGCCCGCGUCUGAUUAGCUAGUUGGUAGGGUAAUGGCCUACCAAGGCGACGAUCAGUAGCUGGUCUGAGAGGAUGAUCAGCCACAUUGGGACUGAGACACGGCCCAAACUCCUACGGGAGGCAGCAGUGGGGAAUAUUGGACAAUGGGCGAAAGCCUGAUCCAGCCAUGCCGCGUGAGUGAUGAAGGCCCUAGGGUUGUAAAGCUCUUUUGUGCGGGAAGAUAAUGACGGUACCGCAAGAAUAAGCCCCGGCUAACUUCGUG
rnacentral:rRNA from 1 species